UUAAGUCCCGCAACGAGCGCAACCCUUAUUGUUAGUUGCUACCAUUUAGUUGAGCACUCUAGCGAGACUGCCCGGGUUAACCGGGAGGAAGGUGGGGAUGACGUCAAAUCAUCAUGCCCCUUAUGUCUAGGGCUACACACGUGCUACAAUGGUCGGUACAAUGAGAUGCAACCUCGCGAGAGUGAGCAAAACUAUAAAACCGAUCUCAGUUCGGAUUGUAGGCUGAAACUCGCCUACAUGAAGCUGGAGUUGCUAGUAAUCGCGAAUCAGAAUGUCGCGGUGAAUACGUUCCCGGGCCUU
rnacentral:rRNA from 1 species